CGCGGCCUAUCAGCUUGUUGGUGAGGUAACGGCUCACCAAGGCAUUGACGGGUAGCUAGUCUGAGAGGACGAAUAGCCACACUGGGACUGAGACACGGCCCAGACUCCUACGGGAGGCAGCAGCAGGGAAUCUUGCACAAUGGACGAAAGUCUGAUGCAGCGACGCCGCGUGGGGGAUGAAGGCCCUAGGGUCGUAAACCCCUUUCAGUGGGGACGAAAAUGACGGUACCCACAGAAGAAGGUCCGGCCAACUACGUGCCAGCAGCCGCGGUAAGACGUAGGGACCGAGCGUUGUCCGGAAUUAUUGGGCGUAAAGAGCUCGUAGGCGGUUGCGUAAGUCGGAUGUGAAAGCUCAGGGCUCAACCCUGAGACGCCAUCCGAUACUGCGCUGACUUGAAUCCAGUAGGGGAGUGUGGAAUUCCUGGUGUAGCGGUGAAAUGCGCAGAUAUCAGGAGGAACACCUAUGGCGAAGGCAGCACUCUGGGCUGGUAUUGACGCUGAGGAGCGAAAGCAUGGGUAGCAAACAGGAUUAGAUACCCUGGUAGUCCAUGCCGUAAACGGUGGGCACUAGGUGUGGGGACUUUCAACGGUUUCCGUGCCGAAGCUAACGCAUUAAGUGCCCCGCCUGGGGAGUACGG
rnacentral:rRNA from 1 species